rnacentral:rRNA from 1 species
UACGGGGGGGGCAAGCGUUGUUCGGAAUUACUGGGCGUAAAGGGCUCGUAGGCGGCCAACUAAGUACGACUUGAAAUCCCCAGGCUUAACCUGGGAACUGCGUCGGAUACUGGAUGGCUUGAAUCCGGGAGAGGGAUGCGGAAUUCCAGGUGUAGCGGUGAAAUGCGUAGAUAUCUGGAGGAACACCGGUGGCGAAGGCGGCAUCCUGGACCGGCAUUGACGCUGAGGAGCGAAAGCCAGGGGAGCAAACGGG